rnacentral:Y_RNA from 1 species
GACUGAUCCAAAGGUAGGGAGUUAUCUCAUUUGAUUGCUCACAGUAAGUUAUAGAUUGAACUCAUUGUUCUACUCCUUUCUCUCCUCACUACUGUACUUGACUAAUCUAAA